rnacentral:rRNA from 1 species
UGCGUAGGCGGGCUAAUAAGUCAGAAGUGAAAGCUCACGGCUCAACUGUGGAAUUGCUUUUGAUACUGUUAGUCUUGAAUUAGGUUGAGGUUGGCGGAAUGAGUCAUGUAGCGGUGAAAUGCAUAGAUAUGACUUAGAACACCAAUUGCGAAGGCAGCUGACUAGACCUUAAUUGACGCUGAGGCACGAAAGCGUGGGGAGCGAACAGGAUUAGAUACCCUGGUAGUCC